rnacentral:rRNA from 1 species
CCCUUAGAGUUUGAUCCUGGCUCAGGAUGAACGCUAGCUACAGGCUUAACACAUGCAAGUCGAGGGGAAACGAUAGAGAAAGCUUGCUUUUUCUAGGCGUCGACCGGCGCACGGGUGAGUAACGCGUAUCCAACCUGCCCAUCACUUGGGGAUAACCUUGCGAAAGUAAGACUAAUACCCAAUGACGUCUCUAGAAGACAUCUGAAGGAGAUUAAAGAUUUAUCGGUGAUGGAUGGGGAUGCGUCUGAUUAGCUUGUUGGCGGGGUAACGGCCCACCAAGGCGACGAUCAGUAGGGGUUCUGAGAGGAAGGUCCCCCACAUUGGAACUGAGACACGGUCCAAACUCCUACGGGAGGCAGCAGUGAGGAAUAUUGGUCAAUGGACGAGAGUCUGAACCAGCCAAGUAGCGUGCAGGAUGACGGCCCUAUGGGUUGUAAACUGCUUUUAUAAGGGAAUAAAGUGAGUCUCGUGAGACUUUUUGCAUGUACCUUAUGAAUAAGGACCGGCUAAUUCCGUGCCAGCAGCCGCGGUAAUACGGAAGGUCCGGGCGUUAUCCGGAUUUAUUGGGUUUAAAGGGAGCGUAGGCCGGAGAUUAAGCGUGUUGUGAAAUGUAGACGCUCAACGUCUGCACUGCAGCGCGAACUGGUUUCCUUGAGUACGCACAAAGUGGGCGGAAUUCGUGGUGUAGCGGUGAAAUGCUUAGAUAUCACGAAGAACUCCGAUUGCGAAGGCAGCUCACUGGAGCGCAACUGACGCUGAAGCUCGAAAGUGCGGGUAUCGAACAGGAUUAGAUACCCUGGUAGUCCGCACGGUAAACGAUGGAUGCCCGCUGUUGGUCUGAAUAGGUCAGCGGCCAAGCGAAAGCAUUAAGCAUCCCACCUGGGGAGUACGCCGGCAACGGUGAAACUCAAAUGAAUUGACG